rnacentral:rRNA from 1 species
AACGCGAAGAACCUUACCUGGGCUCGAAGCGCAGUGGAAUCCGGUGGAAACAUCGGCGCCCCUUAAAAGGCCGCUGCGGAGGUGCUGCAUGGCUGUCGUCAGCUCGUGUCGUGAGAUGUUGGGUUAAGUCCCGCAACGAGCGCAACCCUUAUCCCUAGUUGCCACCGGGUAAUGCCGAGCUACACUAGUGAAACUGCCUGGGAUAACCAGGAGGAAGGUGGGGAUGACGUCAAGUCCUCAUGGCCUUUAUGUCCAGGGCUACACACGUGCUACAAUGGUCGGUACAAACCGUCGCAAACCCGCGAGGGGAAGCUAAUCGGAAAAAGCCGGCCUCAGUUCGGAUUGGAGUCUGCAACUCGACUCCAUGAAGCUGGAAUCGCUAGUAAUCGCGGAUCAGAACGCCGCGGUGAAUACGUUCCCGGGCCUUGUACACACCGGCUAC